AACGAACGCUGGCGGAAUGCUUUACACAUGCAAGUCGAACGAGUACUUUUUACGAGUGGCGGACGGGUGAGUAACGCGUGGGAACCUGCCUUUAGGUAAAGAAUAACUACAGGAAACUGUAGCUAAUACUUUAUACACCCUACGGGGGAAAGAUUUAUCGCCUUUAGAGGGGCCCGCGUCAGAUUAGCUUGUUGGUAAGGUAACGGCUUACCAAGGCAAUGAUCUGUAGCUGGUUUGAGAGGAUGAUCAGCCACAUUGGGACUGAGACACGGCCCAGACUCCUACGGGAGGCAGCAGUGGGGAAUCUUGGACAAUGGGGGAAACCCUGAUCCAGCAAUUCCGCGUGAAUGAUGAAGGCCUUAGGGUUGUAAAAUUCUUUUAGUAAGGAAGAUGAUGACGGUACUUACAGAAAAAGCUCCGGCUAACUCCGUG
rnacentral:rRNA from 1 species